AUGUCCGGCUCCCUCGUCCCGGUUCUCCUCUUCGCCGCCGCCCUGGUUCCUGCUGGCCGGACGGCCGUCGCCCUGGAGCAGAGGCCCAUCUCCCUCACCCGAAAUGCCAAGCAGUCCGCCAGUCUGAACUGCAAGAUUCUGAACCCCGUCUCCGAUUACGUCCACUGGUACCGCUCCCAGGAGGGCAGGGCCCCCGAGCGGCUGCUCGUCUACUCCAGGAGCAAGUCCGAGUCCGUCCCGGACCCAGGAUUCAGCGCGGACAAAGUGCGGGCUUACAAAGGGAAGGACGACACCUGUAGACUGAUAGUGAGUGACCUGCAGGUGAGCGACUCUGGGGUGUAUCACUGCGCCAGCUGGGACGGACCACAGCGGCAGGCGCGCCGCAGCCCCCCAGCACAAAAUCUCCUCCGCGAUAGCUGGCGCUUCCAGCCAAGCCCCCAAGUCAGUAAAGGCUGGGCCCCCGGAGCCUUCACUGCACUUCAAGCCCCAGGACAAGCCCGGGAACGUUGGCCAAAUGCUGGAGAGCUGGCGUCCCCGAGAUUGGUGGAACCCACUCCUUCCUCAGCUUACACUCUGCAUGGCACUGCCUUUGAAUUCAAAGCACUUGGGUUCAAAUCCAGCCCUAAUGUGUACUCCUUGUGGAGGAGGGAGCAGCCAGGUAGUACAGUGGAUGGAGGGCUGGGUCUGCAGUCUGAGAGACCCAGACUCAACUCUGACUAGCAAGUCUCUUAACCUGUGUUUGCCUCAGUUUCCUCAAAAUGAGAAUAUGAAUAGCACCACUCUCCCAGGGUUGUUGUCAGGAUCAAAUGAGUUAAUAAUAAUAAAGUGCUUAGCAUGAUGCCUGGCA
rnacentral:lncRNA from 1 species